AUGCACGCUGGCGGCGUGCCUAAUACAUGCCAGUCGAGCGAACGGACGAGAAGCUUGCUUCUCUGAUGUUAGCGGCGGACGGGUGAGUAACACGUGGAUAACCUACCUAUAAGACUGGGAUAACUUCGGGAAACCGGAGCUAGUACCGGAUAAUAUUUUGAACCGCAUGGUUCAAAAGUGAAAGACGGUCUUGCUGUCACUUAUAGAUGGAUCCGCGCUGCAUUAGCUAGUUGGUAAGGUAACGGCUUACCAAGGCAACGAUGCAUAGCCGACCUGAGAGGGUGAUCGGCCACACUGGAACUGAGACACGGUCCAGACUCCUACGGGAGGCAGCAGUAGGGAAUCUUCCGCAAUGGGCGAAAGCCUGACGGAGCAACGCCGCGUGAGUGAUGAAGGUCUUCGGAUCGUAAAACUCUGUUAUUAGGGAAGAACAUAUGUGUAAGUAACUGUGCACAUCUUGACGGUACCUAAUCAGAAAGCCACGGCUAACUACGUG
rnacentral:rRNA from 1 species